CAGUAGCCGCGGGAAUACGUAGGGUGCGAGCGUUAAUCGGAAUUACUGGGCGUAAAGCGUGCGCAGGCGGUUCGUUAAGACAGAUGUGAAAUCCCCGGGCUUAACCUGGGAACUGCAUUUGUGACUGGCGAGCUAGAGUAUGGCAGAGGGGGGUAGAAUUCCACGUGUAGCAGUGAAAUGCGUAGAGAUGUGGAGGAAUACCGAUGGCGAAGGCAGCCCCCUGGGCCGAUACUGACGCUGAGGUGCGAAAGCGUGGGGAGCAAACAGGAUUAGAUACCCGCGUAGUCCCUGUCUCUUAUAA
rnacentral:rRNA from 1 species